UUCUCUUGCAGGAUCUCCUUCCCAGCCUUCAGAAAUUGCCGGUCUGGGAGUUGGGGGCAAGGAGAAGAUCCUGAAUUAGACCUUUACGAGAAGCACAGUUUUGUCUUCAGUUUCCUCUCCCCCCACCCGGAAUGGCCUGAGCCGAAGCCAGCUCCCUCCGAGAAGUCAUUACCGCCUGAUGCUGGCUCCCCGUCCCCUGUCCACCAUGAGUCAAAGCAAUGUGAGUCCCUCACCAGAUGCAACUGCCCAGUCUUGGACUUUCCAGUGACCAGAAUCAUGAGCCAAAUAAACCUCUUUUCUUUAUGAAUUA
ensembl:lncRNA SMAD3-DT SMAD3 divergent transcript